rnacentral:rRNA from 1 species
AUUGAACGCUGGCGGCAUGCCUUACACAUGCAAGUCGAACGGCAGCACGGGUGCUUGCACCUGGUGGCGAGUGGCGAACGGGUGAGUAAUACAUCGGAACAUGUCCUGUAGUGGGGGAUAGCCCGGCGAAAGCCGGAUUAAUACCGCAUACGAUCUACGGAUGAAAGCGGGGGACCUUCGGGCCUCGCGCUAUAGGGUUGGCCGAUGGCUGAUUCGCUAGUUGGUGGGGUAAAGGCCUACCAAGGCGACGAUCAGUAGCUGGUCUGAGAGGACGACCAGCCACACUGGAACUGCGACACGGCCCAGACUCCUACGGGAGGCAGCAGUGGGGAAUUUUGGACAAUGGGCGAAAGCCUGAUCCAGCAAUGCCGCGUGUGUGAAGAAGGCCUUCGGGUUGUAAAGCACUUUUGUCCGGAAAGAAAUCCUUGGCUCUAAUACAGUCGGGGGAUGACGGUACCGGAAGAAUAAGCACCAGCUAACUACGUGCCAGCAGCCGCAGUAA